rnacentral:rRNA from 1 species
UACGUAGGUGGCAAGCGUUAUCCGGAAUUAUUGGGCGUAAAGCGCGCGCAGGUGGUUUCUUAAGUCUGAUGUGAAAGCCCACGGCUCAACCGUGGAGGGUCAUUGGAAACUGGGAGACUUGAGUGCAGAAGAGGAAAGUGGAAUUCCAUGUGUAGCGGUGAAAUGCGUAGAGAUAUGGAGGAACACCGGUGGCGAAAGCGGCUCUCUGGCCUGUAACUGACACUGAGGCUCGAAAGCGUGGGGAUCAAACAGG